rnacentral:rRNA from 1 species
GACGAACGCUGGCGGCGUGCUUAACACAUGCAAGUCGAACGAGUGUCGCACGGGUGAGUAACACGUGGGUGAUAUGCCUUGCCAUUCGGGAUAAGCUUGGGAAACUGGGUCUAAACCCGGAUAGUGCAGGCUGAGCUCGCGGCCUAUCAGCUUGUGGGUGGGGUAAUGUCUACCAAGGCGCGAAGGGUAGCCGGCAUGAGAGGGUAUACGGCCACAUUGGGACUGAGUUACGGCCCAGGUUCCUAAGGGAGGCAGCAGUGGGGAAUAUUGCACAAGGGGCGGAAGCCUGAUGGAGCGACGCCGCGUGGGGGAUGACGGCCUUCGGGUUGUAAACUCCGUUCGACAGGGAAGCGGUACCUGUAUAAGAAGCACCGGCUAACUACGUGCCAGCCGCCGCGGUAAUAC